UACGGAGGGUGCAAGCGUUAUCCGGAUUCACUGGGUUUAAAGGGUGCGUAGGCGGGUAAGUAAGUCCGUGGUGAAAUCUCUGAGCUUAACUCAGAAACUGCCGUGGAUACUAUUUGCCUUGAAUAUUGUGGAGGUGAGCGGAAUAUGUCAUGUAGCGGUGAAGUGCUUAGAUAUGACAUAGAACACCAAUUGCGAAGGCAGCUCACUACACAAUCAUUGACGCUGAGGCACGAAAGCGUGGGGAUCAAACAGG
rnacentral:rRNA from 1 species